GCACCACAGUAGUGAUGGUACAGUGAACUAGAGUGGCAGCACAACACCACAGUAGUGAUGGUGGUGGUACAGUGAACUAGAGUGGCAGCACAACACCACAGUAGUGAUGGUGAUGGUACAGUGAACUAGAGUGGCAGCACAACACCACAGUAGUGAUGGUA